UGGGGAAUAUUGGACAAUGGGCGAAAGCCUGAUCCAGCCAUGCCGCGUGUGUGAAGAAGGUCUUCGGAUUGUAAAGCACUUUAAGUUGGGAGGAAGGGCAUUAACCUAAUACGUUAGUGUUUUGACGUUACCGACAGAAUAAGCACCGGCUAACUCUGUGCCAGCAGCCGCGGUAAUACAGAGGGUGCAAGCGUUAAUCGGAAUUACUGGGCGUAAAGCGCGCGUAGGUGGUUUGUUAAGUUGGAUGUGAAAUCCCCGGGCUCAACCUGGGAACUGCAUUCAAAACUGACUGACUAGAGUAUGGUAGAGGGUGGUGGAAUUUCCUGUGUAGCGGUGAAAUGCGUAGAUAUAGGAAGGAACACCAGUGGCGAAGGCGACCACCUGGACUAAUACUGACACUGAGGUGCGAAAGC
rnacentral:rRNA from 1 species